rnacentral:rRNA from 1 species
UACGGAAUGUGCAACCGUUAUUCGGAAUCACUGGGCUUAAAGAGUCCGUAGGCGGCAUGUUAGGUGAGGUGUGAAAUCCCCCGGCUCAACCGAGGAAUUGCGCUUCAAACCGGCGUGCUCGAGGAAGAUAGAGGUGGGCGGAACUGAUGGUGGAGCGGUGAAAUGCGUUGAUAUCAUCAGGAACACCGGAGGCGAAGGCGGCCCACUGGGUCUUUUCUGACGCUGAGGGACGAAAGCCAGGGGAGCGAACGGG